UACGUAGGGUGCGAGCGUUGUCCGGAAUUACUGGGCGUAAAGAGCUCGUAGGUGGUUUGUCGCGUUGUUCGUGAAAACUCACAGCUCAACUGUGGGCGUGCGGGCGAUACGGGCAGACUGGAGUACUGCAGGGGAGACUGGAAUUCCUGGUGUAGCGGUGGAAUGCGCAGAUAUCAGGAGGAACACCGGUGGCGAAGGUGGGUCUCUGGGCAGUAACUGACGCUGAGGAGCGAAAGCGUGGGGAGCGAACAGG
rnacentral:rRNA from 1 species